rnacentral:rRNA from 1 species
AUACGGAGGAUCCGAGCGUUAUCCGGAUUUAUUGGGUUUAAAGGGUGCGCAGGCGGCCAUUUAGGUCAGCGGUUAAAUCGUGGGGCUCAACCCCAUUCUGCCGUUGAUACUGGGUGGCUUGAUUGCGGUCGAGGUUGGCGGAAUUCGUUGUGUAGCGGUGAAAUGCAUAGAUAUGACGAAGAACACCGAUUGCGUAGGCAGCUGACCAGAUCGCAAAUGACGCUCAUGCACGAAAGUACGGGGAUCGAACAGGAUUAGAUACCCUGGUAGUCCGCACAGUAAACGAUGAAUACUUGUUUUCGGCGAUAUAAUGUCGGAGGCAAAGCGAAAGCGAUAAGUAUUCCACCUGGGGAGUACGCCGGCAACGGUGAAACUCAAAGGAAUUGACGGGG